rnacentral:rRNA from 1 species
CUAUACAUGCAAGUCGAGCGGACAGAUGGGAGCUUGCUCCCUGAUGUCAGCGGCGGACGGGUGAGUAACACGUGGGUAACCUGCCUGUAAGACUGGGAUAACUCCGGGAAACCGGGGCUAAUACCGGAUGCUUGUUUGAACCGCAUGGUUCAAACAUAAAAGGUGGCUUCGGCUACCACUUACAGAUGGACCCGCGGCGCAUUAGCUAGUUGGUGAGGUAACGGCUCACCAAGGCAACGAUGCGUAGCCGACCUGAGAGGGUGAUCGGCCACACUGGGACUGAGACACGGCCCAGACUCCUACGGGAGGCAGCAGUAGGGAAUCUUCCGCAAUGGACGAAAGUCUGACGGAGCAACGCCGCGUGAGUGAUGAAGGUUUUCGGAUCGUAAAGCUCUGUUGUUAGGGAAGAACAAGUGCCGUUCGAAUAGGGCGGCACCUUGACGGUACCUAACCAGAAAGCCACGGCUAACUACGUGCCAGCAGCCGCGGUAAUACGUAGGUGGCAAGCGUUGUCCGGAAUUAUUGGGCGUAAAGGGCUCGCAGGCGGUUUCUUAAGUCUGAUGUGAAAGCCCCCGGCUCAACCGGGGAGGGUCAUUGGAAACUGGGGAACUUGAGUGCAGAAGAGGAGAGUGGAAUUCCNCGUGUAGCGGUGAAAUGCGUAGAGAUGUGGAGGAACACCAGUGGCGANNNCGACUCUCUGGUCUGUAACUGACGCUGANGAGCGAAAGCGUGGGGAGCGAACAGGAUUAGAUACCCUGGUAGUCCACNCCGUAAACGAUGAGUGCUAAGUGUUAGGGGGUUUCCGCNCCUUAGUGCUGCAGCUAACGCAUU